rnacentral:tRNA from 1 species
GAGGCUUUAUUGAGGUAAUAAAAAAGGGACUACGAAUCCGUAGGUCGCAAGUUCGAAUCUUGCCGGGCGCGCCA